CGUAAUUUAUGCUUAAAUUCGUUGUAGACUGUCAUGUUUGCUACUCAUGACAAUAUUAAAAUUAUUAUUAUUAAGGACAAUUAGCCGCAUUAGAGUAAUAAAAGUCGACAGUCGUAACACUUCCACUGGAAACUUUUCGGGAUGUCCUUUUCGAAACGGUAUCAGGAACACAUGAAGAAAAGUCGUUGUCGAGAAGGCCACUGAUUCGUGUUCGGCGUUUUAUUCAUUUAUCAGAAAGUGACAGGACAUGCUUUCCUGGCGCCAGGAAUUCUGCUCGAGCGAGGCCAAAAUUUUUGGAAAGCUCGAGUGUUUCUUAUCGCGCGGAGCGUCACGUUUGGCGAUCUUUGACGGAGGCAGGUUUUGCAUUUCACCUUCGCCAUCCAACACACACAAUCAAUCUCUCUUACAGAAUGCAAAUGAUUGAUUUAAGAUGCGUGGGUUGCACCAUAUGGACACUCCAUGCAUUCCUCGAAGCAUCGAGGCGUAAUGUCGUGAGGAUAUGACGAAAUGUGACAGCUUAUUAUAAUAAACUCGUUCGUUGUGUGUCUAAGCGAGGAAAAUAAACCGAGCGAUCACUUCCGUUACUAAUAACUUAAUACGCGUCUUCAUCGGGAGAGGAAAAACGGGAUGAUUGAGCGGUCACUAAAUGGAAACAUGGAAAUGGCUCUGGUGGCGUUUUUAAUGACUCUUAUUAUUAUCAUUACUCGUUUCGAAAGACAAUUUAUCAUCUUGUAAUAAUAACUCUCUGAUAAAAUCGAAUUAACUAUGUA